rnacentral:rRNA from 1 species
CUACGGAGGAUGCGAGCGUUAUCCGGAUUUAUUGGGUUUAAAGGGUGCGUAGGCGGAAAGUUAAGUCAGCGGUGAAACGCAGGUGCUCAACACCUGACCUGCCGUUGAGACUGGUUUUCUAGAAUGCGGAUGCUGUGGGAGGAAUGUGUGGUGUAGCGGUGAAAUGCAUAGAUAUCACACAGAACACCGAUUGCGAAGGCAUCUCACAAAUCCGCGAUUGACGCUGAGGCACGAAGGUGCGGGGAUCGAACAGGAUUAGAUACCCUGGUAGUCCGCACAGUAAACGAUGAUAACUCGCUGUCGGCGAUAGACAGUCGGUGGCCAAGCGAAAGCGAUAAGUUAUCCACCUGGGGAGUAUGACCGCAAGGUUGAAACUCAAAUGAAUUGACGGGG